AGCGAACGCUGGCGGCAGGCUUAACACAUGCAAGUCGAGCGGGCGUAGCAAUACGUCAGCGGCAGACGGGUGAGUAACGCGUGGGAACGUACCUUUUGGUUCGGAACAACACAGGGAAACUUGUGCUAAUACCGGAUAAGCCCUUACGGGGAAAGAUUUAUCGCCGAAAGAUCGGCCCGCGUCUGAUUAGCUAGUUGGUGAGGUAACGGCUCACCAAGGCGACGAUCAGUAGCUGGUCUGAGAGGAUGAUCAGCCACAUUGGGACUGAGACACGGCCCAAACUCCUACGGGAGGCAGCAGUGGGGAAUAUUGGACAAUGGGCGCAAGCCUGAUCCAGCCAUGCCGCGUGAGUGACGAAGGCCUUAGGGUUGUAAAGCUCUUUUGGCGGGAAGAUAAUGACGGUACCCGCAGAAUAAGCUCC
rnacentral:rRNA from 1 species